AUGAGAAGGCGCAGAGGUGGAGGGUGUUUCUAUCAAUCAAAUAGUAUGGGGCUGGGGUGCAGGUGGGAAAAGGUAGCAGGGGGAGGCCGGUGUGGGGUGAAGCGCCAGGCUGUGAACCCUGGUUUUAGCCCUCCCUGCGGAGAAGGGACACCAAACUGCGGCACGGCCCUGCGUAGCGGCGACGAGAGCAGCGGCGGUGGCGAAGGCGCCACCGCCUCAGACACUCCAGCCUUGCAUCCUCAUCCCGAGAUCCAGGGCAAGGCGUUCAGUUCCCAGGAACGGGGGGUCUCCAGCUCGGACAGUUGCCCCCACCCCGUACUCUCCCGGCUUCCCGCAGCGGCAGUCUCCACAGCAGACACAAUCUCUCCUUCCUCCGCCGGUUGUUCUCUAAUCACCGAGACUAAAGCUGGAGUCCAAGCCGCCUCCGGCGUCCGCGAUGCUCGGUGGCCGGGGGCGUCCCUGGGGGCCCGGGAGGUCUCGGCUGGCCGGUGCUGCGUCUCCUCAUGCCUGGCGAGGCCCCGGCGCACAGCGACGGUAGCAGGAGCCAAGCGACAGCGGGGAAAACCCGGAAAGCAGCGAGGCUACCGGGAGAAUCCCUCCCGGGACUGGCGCACGAACCCGAGGUCCUGCAGCCGCCGCAGCCGCCGCCGCCGCCGCCGCCUCCUCCCCUUCCAGGUGCUGUCCCGGCCGCAGGGGCAGCAGCAGCAGCAGCAGCAGCAUCCCCGCUUCCCAGCCCCGGGGACUCUCUCGGGGACUGUCAGAAGAAUCUCUCUCCGGAGAUGGAGCUGGCUGAACUGGUGUCUCUCUGAACACUAGAAUCUUGCUUGGGACAAAUCUUGUGGUGAGUGGAUUGAAGACUGACUGAUCUCUCUCUCUCUCUCUUAAGGCUGGCCUAAGCUGGCCUAGCCUUUUUCUCAUUAUUCCCUUUUUUUCUCUCUCUCCCUUUCUUUAAUUCCUCAUUUGUAUUAAUUAAAAUCUCUAUAAAACCCAGUUGACUUGGGUAUAUUUUAUAUUUGGGAAUUUUUCCCUGGCGACCACUUUAUAUUAUUUGAUUUAAAACAAGACACUGUCUUGAAACCAUAUUUUCUGCAGUCACAAUUUAAGUCAACCACUCUAUCUGUAAUAAUUUAUUUCUCCCACUAUUUUAAUCACUACACACCCUGCAGAUUGGCUAACAUGACAGCAAAGGAAAGUAAUUAAUGCUGGAGGGGAUGUGGCAAAGUUGGUACAUUAAUGCAUUGCUGGUGGAGUUGUGAAUUGAUCCAACCAUUCUGGAGGGCAAUUUGGGACUAUGCCCAAAGGGCACUAAAGACUUUCUGCCCUUUGAUCCACCCAUAGCACUGCUGGGUUUGUACCCCAAAGAGAUAAUAAGGAAAAAUGCAUGUACCAAAAAUAUCCAUAGCUGCUCUCUUUGUGGUGGCAAAAAAAAAAUUGGAAAAUGAGGGGAUGCCCUUCAAUUGGGGAAUGGCUGAACAAAUUGUGGUAUGUGUUGGUGAUGAAAUACUAUUGUGCUAAAAGGAAUAAUAAACUGGAGAAAUUCCAUGUGAACUGGAACA
rnacentral:lncRNA from 1 species